rnacentral:rRNA from 1 species
UACGGGGGGGGCAAGCGUUGUUCGGAAUUACUGGGCGUAAAGGGCUCGUAGGCGGCCAACUAAGUCGGACGUGAAAUCCCCAGGCUCAACCUGGGAACUGCGUCUGAUACUGGAUGGCUUGAAUCCGGGAGAGGGAUGCAGAAUUCCAGGUGUAGCGGUGAAAUGCGUAGAUAUCAGGAGGAACACCGAUGGCGAAGGCAGCUCGCUGGGACGGUACUGACGCUGAGGCGCGAAAGCGUGGGGAGCAAACAGG